rnacentral:rRNA from 1 species
UACGUAGGGUGCGAGCGUUAAUCGGAAUUACUGGGCGUAAAGUGUGCGCAGGCGGCGCCGCAUGUCGAGUGUGAAAGCCCCGAGCUUAACUUGGGAAUUGCGCUCGAAACUACGGUGCUGGAGUGUGGCAGAGGAAGGUGGAAUUCCGGGUGUAGUGGUGAAAUGCGUAGAGAUCCGGAGGAACCCCAGAGGCGAAGGCGGCGUCCUGGCUCGCAUCUGACGCUCAGACACGACAGCAUGGGGAGCGAACGGG